GAAAGUGACUACAUCGGGGU
rnacentral:siRNA from 1 species